CUCGAAGCCAACUCUAAGAUUAACUUUCCCUGAAGUUCCCAGCAAGACUAGCUGGUUGAUAGGCUGGAUGUGUAAGCGUUGUAAGACGUUUAGCUGACCAGUACUAAUAGAACGUUUGGCUUAUUUUA
rnacentral:rRNA from 1 species